rnacentral:pre_miRNA from 1 species
AGGAGGAACAGCCCCAGUGGCCGGGCAGCUCUGGAAACCUGGAUUCAGCUCCGGCAGGAACUCCGUCUGCAGGGCCUGGAGGCUCCGGGGCGGG